CAGCGCUGGGCAGGGGGCGAGAUGCGCUUCUGUGGAAAGUGCUUCCACACCCACCAAAAACCCUCCGGGACAGACGUGAUCUUUGCCACCUAAGAACGAAAGCUGAAUUUGCAGCAGCAGUAAUGCCCAAGCCACAUCUGGCUCAUGAUGCACAUGGGAUCAGACCAGGACUUUGGGAGGAGGAGGAUCUGGAUUCAGAGAUAUGAAAGCCGGAGCAGAGACAUCUGACGGGGCUCCAGCGCUGACUCACUGUUUGAUGUGAGGCAGGAGGAGGGAUGUGAUCAGAUCCCUCCGUGCAGUGCAGGCACCAGACAACCUGUCACCAGGAGGAGAGGAGACUCCUGCUCCUCCCAGCCCCUCCAAACAGCGGAUCACCCCUCACCAUCACCUGAGCUCUGCAGAGACCACCCAGCCAGCGCAGCACCCCGAUGUCACCUCUGAAAUGGCUCUCAGGUUGUGAACUCCCCAUCCCUGCGAGUGUCCAAGGUUGGACGGAGCUUGGAGCAACCUGGGCUAGUGGAAGGUGUCCCUGCUCAUGGCAGGGG